rnacentral:rRNA from 1 species
UUACGGGAGGCAGCAGUGGGGAAUCUUGCACAAUGGGGGCAACCCUGAUGCAGCGACGCCGCGUGAGCGAUGAAGCCCUUCGGGGUGUAAAGCUCUUUCGGCAGGGACGAAACAAGACGGUACCUGCAGAAGCAGCUGCGGCUAACUACGUGCCAGCAGCCGCGGUAAUACGUAGGCAGCGAGCGUUGUUCGGAGUUACUGGGCGUAAAGGGUGUGUAGGCGGUUCUCUAAGUUUGGUGUGAAAUCUCCCGGCUUAACCGGGAGGGUGCGCCGAAAACUGGGGGGCUAGAGUGCGGGAUGGGAGAGUGGAAUUCCUGGUGUAGCGGUGAAAUGCGUAGAUAUCAGGAGGAACACCGGUGGUGUAGACGGCUCUCUGGACCGUAACUGACGCUGAGACACGAAAGCGUGGGUAGCAAACAGGAUUAGAUACCCCGGU